UGUUAUGAGUUAAUGCAUUUACCUCACACGGGGUGCCUACUACGGAUGGGAAACCCAGUCGCCUAAAAAACAAAAGUGUUUUCAGUUUCAGGCGACGGAGUCGAGCGAUCGGCCCGAUCCAGCUGUCGUGGGCACCCCGUAAAAUUUUUAAUGUUUAAUUCGUGUGACAAAGCCCAGACUCAUUAAAGUACGAGCACUCCCUAAACGCUUAAUUGUAAAAGUCAUUAAUAUUCAUAAUAUCCGUAGAGCGCCACCAACCUGCGCUGGGUUUCACUUCUGUCGCUGCAGUAAAUUCUCGGUAGUUUUCCAUACUCGUUGGAAGGUAAUACAGAAGAGAGACAGGUGUAGGAAAAAAUAGGUGAUGUCGAAACGACACUGAAUAAAAGCUUUUGAAGUCAGAAAGAGAAUUUUUUGGACACGAUAUCAACGCUUUGCGACCUGAGUUCUGGCUUAUUUAUAACUUUGAUUCCUACCUGUGAUGAUAUCAUAUGCCUUUAGAGGAGGUGGGAUAAUAUGCAGUUUCUGUGACUGUUUUUCGAGAAGACUUGACAUUUCCGACUGGGAAGAAGAGUCAGGGCCUUAUCUUCUAGACCAGAGAUGCUCAAAGAUUCCACUCAUCCUCAUCCCAGUAUAGGAACGGAGCAGCAAUUCAGUUACUCACCGCGAACAUUGCCGUGAGGAAAGUCUCUCAUCCUCUCCACCCGUCAUUGGAGGUCCAACCGCUCCUGGCUGCUUAUUGCUAGCCUUGUCAACUUAAAUUGAGGCUCGAAAUAAUCUCAUCAUGAGUGAAGAAGAAGAGAUUAACGAGCAAGCGAAGACAUUCUCGAUCGCUGACUACAACACAUUUGAUGAAAACAACCCAACAGACCGACUAUUGGAUCAUGGAAAAGAUGCCACUCGUUUGUCUAUGCAGGAGGCUAUCGACAAGCUGGGGUUUGGGAAAUUCCAGAUUCACCUUUCCAUCAUGAC